AAAACAAUGAGACCGUAACCGCGGCCCAUAAUCAAUACGCAGACGAGACAGCGGCCUGUCGGCUACAAUCCAGUUCCGUGAUCGAGCGCUGUGAUUCGGUCGAUGUAAAGUAUCAGACAGUACCGUGUUGAUGCGUUACUGGUAGGAAUAAUCCUGUUUUUGUUCUGGUCGUGAAUGGUAAUGUCGGCGAUGUAAUGCAUCAUAGUGUUAACAGCAAUGUUUCAGAGACGUCGGAGUGACCUAAGACUGGGUGGUUGGCGCUUCGUAGAAAGACAUCGUUUUCGUCCAAAAAAAAAAAAGAUUAGCGGAUGUUUUUAUUCCGUAAUGUUUUUUUCGAGACAAACUAUAAUUUCCAGUUUAAUUAAACGAUUGUUUGAUUCUCAA